rnacentral:rRNA from 1 species
CAGGCUUAACACAUGCAAGUCGAGGGGCAGCACGGUGUAGCAAUACAUUGGUGGCGACCGGCGCACGGGUGAGUAACGCGUAUGCAACCUACCUAUCAGAGGGGAAUAACCCGGCGAAAGUCGGACUAAUACCGCAUAAAACAGGGGUUCCACAUGGAAAUAUUUGUUAAAGAUUUAUCGCUGAUAGAUGGGCAUGCGUUCCAUUAGAUAGUUGGUGAGGUAACGGCUCGCCAAGUCCACGAUGGAUAGGGGUUCUGAGAGGAAGGUCCCCCACACUGGUACUGAGACACGGACCAGACUCCUACGGGAGGCAGCAGUGAGGAAUAUUGGUCAAUGGGCGAGAGCCUGAACCAGCCAAGUCGCGUGAAGGAUGAAGGAUCUAUGGUUUGUAAACUUCUUUUAUAUGGGAAUAAAGUGAGGAACGUGUUCCUUUUUGUAUGUACCAUAUGAAUAAGCAUCGGCUAACUCCGUGCCAGCAGCCGCGGUGAUACGGAGGAUGCGAGCGUUAUCCGGAUUUAUUGGGUUUAAAGGGUGCGUAGGUGGUUUUUUAAGUCAGCGGUGAAAGUUUGUGGCUCAACCAUAAAAUUGCCGUUGAAACUGGGGAACUUGAGUAUAUUUGAGGUAGGCGGAAUGCGUGGUGUAGCGGUGAAAUGCAUAGAUAUCACGCAGAACUCCGAUUGCGAAGGCAGCUUACUAAACUAUAACUGACACUGAAGCACGAAAGCGUGGGGAUCAAACAGGAUUAGAUACCCUGGUAGUCCACGCAGUAAACGAUGAUUACUAGCUGUUUGCGAUACACAGUAAGCGGCACAGCGAAAGCGUUAAGUAAUCCACCUGGGGAGUACGCCGGCAACGGUGAAACUCAAAGGAAUUGACGGGGGCCCGCACAAGCGGAGGAACAUGUGGUUUAAUUCGAUGAUACGCGAGGAACCUUACCCGGGUUUGAACGCAUUCGGACCGACUGUGAAAGCAGUCUUUCAGCAAUGACCGUUUGCGAGGUGCUGCAUGGUUGUCGUCAGCUCGUGCCGUGAGGUGUCGGCUUAAGUGCCAUAACGAGCGCAACCCUUAUCACUAGUUACUAACAGGUCAUGCUGAGGACUCUAGUGAGACUGCCAGCGUAAGCUGUGAGGAAGGUGGGGAUGACGUCAAAUCAGCACGGCCCUUACAUCCGGGGCGACACACGUGUUACAAUGGUGGGGACAAAGGGCAGCUACACAGCGAUGUGAUGCUAAUCUCCAAACCCCAUCUCAGUUCGGAUCGAAGUCUGCAACCCGACUUCGUGAAGCUGGAUUCGCUAGUAAUCGCGCAUCAGCCAUGGCGCGGUGAAUACGUUCCCGGGCCUUGUACACACCGCCCGUCAAGCCAUGGGAGUUGGGGGUACCUAAAGUCCGUAACCGUAAGGAUCGGCCUAGGGUAAAACCGAUGACUGGGG